GGUGGUGUGACAGUUAAGUGCUUGGCUGCUGACCAAAAGUUGGUGGUUAGAAUCCACCCAGCAGCU
rnacentral:tRNA from 1 species